UAGAGCGACUGAUAGGAUGCGAGGGCUUCACCGCCUAUCAAGUCCUGACAAACUCCGAAUGCCACGGCACGAUCCCCGGGAGUGAGGGCGCGGGUGCUAAGGUCCGCGUCCGAGAGAGGAACAACUCAGACCACCGGCCAAGGCCCCCAAAUAUGGGCUAAGUUGAAGACAAUAACGAGGUGGAAUCGCACAGACAGCUAGGAUGUUGGCUUGGAAGCAGCCAUUCAUUUAAAGAGUGCGUAACAGCUCACUAGUCGAGUGAUUCCGCAUGGAUAAUAAUCGGGCAUAAGUCCAUUGCCGAAGCCGUGGGAUCCAUCGCAAUGAUGGAUCGGUAGGGGAGCAUUCCGGCGGCCGCAGAAGGCGGGGCGCGAGCCCUGCUGGAGGAACCGGAAAAGCAAAUGUAGGAAUAAGUAACGAUAAGGAGGGCGAGAAACCCUCCCGCCGCAAGACCAAGGGUUCCUGAUCAACGCUAAUCGGAUCAGGGUAAGUCGGGACCUAAGGGGCAGCCGCAAGGCGGACCCGAUGGACAGCCGGUCAAGAUUCCGGCACUUCCCUCAGGAGUGACGUGGAGACGGAGAAGUGACACUCCCGCGCGCUGACGGAAUAGCGCGUUGAAGGCCGUAGGUAUACGAGAGGCAGGCAAAUCCACCUCUUGUGC
rnacentral:rRNA from 1 species